UACGUAGGGUGCGAGCGUUAAUCGGAAUUACUGGGCGUAAAGUGUGCGCAGGCGGCCGCGCAAGUCGAGUGUGAAAUCCCCGAGCUUAACUUGGGAAUUGCGCUCGAAACUACGUGGCUGGAGUGUGGCAGAGGAAGGUGGAAUUCCACGUGUAGCGGUGAAAUUCGUAGAUAUCGGGAGGAACACCAGUGGCGAAGGCGGCGAUCUGGGCUGAUACUGACGCUGAGGUGCGAAAGCGUGGGGAGCAAACAGG
rnacentral:rRNA from 1 species